rnacentral:rRNA from 1 species
GACAGAGGGUGCAAGCGUUGCUCGGAAUCACUGGGCGUAAAGGGCGUGUAGGCGGGCAGGUAAGUCGGGCGUGAAAUCCCUGAGCUCAACUCAGGAACUGCACUCGAAACUACUUUUCUUGAGUGCCGGAGAGGAAAGCGGAAUACCUGGUGUAGAGGUGAAAUUCGUAGAUAUCAGGUGGAACACCAGUGGCGAAGGCGGCUUUCUGGACGGUAACUGACGCUGAGACGCGAAAGCGUGGGGAGCAAACAGG